GUAUAAGGUGUGAGCCUGCCCGGUGCUCGAAGGUUAAGGGAUGCGUCAGUCGCAAGAUGAAGCGUUGAAUUGAAGCCCGAGUAAACGGCGGCCGUAACUAUAACGGUCCUAAGGUAGCGAAAUUCCUUGUCGGUUAAAUACCGACCUGCAUGAAUGGCGUAACGAGAUGGGAGCUGUCUCAACCAGAGAUUCAGUGAAAUUGUAGUGGAGGUGAAAAUUCCUCCUACCCGCGGCAAGACGGAAAGACCCCGUGGACCUUUACUACAACUUAGCACUGCUAAUGGGAAUAUCAUGCGCAGGAUAGGUGGGAGGCUUUGAAGUAAGGGCUUUGGCU
rnacentral:rRNA from 1 species